rnacentral:rRNA from 1 species
GACGAACGCUGGCGGCGUGCUUAACACAUGCAAGUCGAACGGAGUGGCGAACGGGUGAGUAAAACGUGGGUGAUAUGCCUUGAACUUAGGGAUAAGCUUGGGAAACUGGGUCUAAUACCGGAUAGUGCAAGAUGAGCUCGCGGCCUAUCAGCUUGUUGGUGGGGUAAUGGCCUACCAAGGCGUCGACUGGUAGCCGGCCUGAGCGGGGGUACGGCCACAUUGGGACUGAGGUACGGCCCAGACUCCUACGGGGCGCAGCAGUGGGGAGUAUUGCGCAAUGGGCGGAAGCCUGAUGCAGCGACGCCGCGUGGGGGAUGAAGGCCUUCGGGUUGUAAACUCCUUUCGACAGGGACGCGGUACCUGUAUAAGAAGCACCGGCUAACUACGUGCCAGCAGCCGCGGUAAUAC